AAAUUGAAGAGUUUGAUCAUGGCUCAGAUUGAACGCUGGCGGCAGGCCUAACACAUGCAAGUCGAGCGGAAACGAGUUGUCUGAACCUUCGGGGAACGAUAACGGCGUCGAGCGGCGGACGGGUGAGUAAUGCCUAGGAAAUUGCCCUGAUGUGGGGGAUAACCAUUGGAAACGAUGGCUAAUACCGCAUGAUGCCUACGGGCCAAAGAGGGGGACCUUCGGGCCUCUCGCGUCAGGAUAUGCCUAGGUGGGAUUAGCUAGUUGGUGAGGUAAGGGCUCACCAAGGCGACGAUCCCUAGCUGGUCUGAGAGGAUGAUCAGCCACACUGGAACUGAGACACGGUCCAGACUCCUACGGGAGGCAGCAGUGGGGAAUAUUGCACAAUGGGCGCAAGCCUGAUGCAGCCAUGCCGCGUGUGUGAAGAAGGCCUUCGGGUUGUAAAGCACUUUCAGUCGUGAGGAAGGCGGUGUAGUUAAUAGCUGCAUCGUUUGACGUUAGCGACAGAAGAAGCACCGGCUAACUCCGUGCCAGCAGCCGCGGUAAUACGGAGGGUGCGAGCGUUAAUCGGAAUUACUGGGCGUAAAGCGCAUGCAGGUGGUUUGUUAAGUCAGAUGUGAAAGCCCGGGGCUCAACCUCGGAAUUGCAUUUGAAACUGGCAGACUAGAGUACUGUAGAGGGGGGGUAGAAUUUCAGGUGUAGCGGUGAAAUGCGUAGAGAUCUGAAGGAAUACCGGUGGCGAAGGCGGCCCCCUGGACAGAUACUGACACUCAGAUGCGAAAGCGUGGGGAGCAAACAGGAUUAGAUACCCUGGUAGUCCACGCCGUAAACGAUGUCUACUUGGAGGUUGUGGCCUUGAGCCGUGGCUUUCGGAGCUAACGCGUUAAGUAGACCGCCUGGGGAGUACGGUCGCAAGAUUAAAACUCAAAUGAAUUGACGGGGGGCCCGCACAAGCGGUGGAGCAUGUGGUUUAAUUCGAUGCAACGCGAAGAACCUUACCUACUCUUGACAUCCAGAGAACUUUCCAGAGAUGGAUUGGUGCCUUCGGGAACUCUGAGACAGGUGCUGCAUGGCUGUCGUCAGCUCGUGUUGUGAAAUGUUGGGUUAAGUCCCGCAACGAGCGCAACCCUUAUCCUUGUUUGCCAGCGAGUAAUGUCGGGAACUCCAGGGAGACUGCCGGUGAUAAACCGGAGGAAGGUGGGGACGACGUCAAGUCAUCAUGGCCCUUACGAGUAGGGCUACACACGUGCUACAAUGGCGCAUACAGAGGGCAGCCAACUUGCGAAAGUGAGCGAAUCCCAAAAAGUGCGUCGUAGUCCGGAUUGGAGUCUGCAACUCGACUCCAUGAAGUCGGAAUCGCUAGUAAUCGUGGAUCAGAAUGCCACGGUGAAUACGUUCCCGGGCCUUGUACACACCGCCCGUCACACCAUGGGAGUGGGCUGCAAAAGAAGUAGGUAGUUUAACCUUCGGGGGGGACGCUUACCACUUUGUGGUUCAUGACUGGGGUGAAGUCGUAACAAGGUAGCGCUAGGGGAACCUGGCGCUGGAUCACCUCCUUA
rnacentral:rRNA from 1 species